rnacentral:sRNA from 2 species
AAAAAAGCUGUCUAGGGUUCCGUUUAAAGCGUCACUUUAAAGUCUGGUCCGAGAGAGAGCGUACAGCAGCCGCUGUAUACACGGAAGGAUAAAAGCCUGGGAGAU